rnacentral:rRNA from 1 species
UUGCCCCAGUAACGGCGAGUGAAGCGGCAACAGCUCAAAUUUGAAAUCUGGCCCCAGGCCCGAGUUGUAAUUUGCAGAGGAUGCUUUUGGCGCGGUGCCUUCCGAGUUCCCUGGAACGGGACGCCAUAGAGGGUGAGAGCCCCGUACGGUUGGACACCAAGCCUUUGUAAAGCUCCUUCGACGAGUCGAGUAGUUUGGGAAUGCUGCUCAAAAUGGGAGGUAUAUUUCUUCUAAAGCUAAAUAUAGGCCAGAGACCGAUAGCGCACAAGUAGAGUGAUCGAAAGAUGAAAAGCACUUUGAAAAGAGGGUUAAACAGCACGUGAAAUUGUUAAAAGGGAAGCGCUUGUGACCAGACUUGCGUCCGGUGAAUCACCCAGCUCUCGCGGCUGGGGCACUUCGCCGGCACAGGCCAGCAUCAGCUUGCCGUCGGGGACAAAAGCUUCAGGAACGUAGCUCUCUUCGGGGAGUGUUAUAGCCUGUUGCAUAAUACCCUUCGGCGGGCUGAGGUACGCGCUCCGCAAGGAUGCUGGCGUAAUGGUCAUCAGCGACCCGUCUGAACACG